rnacentral:snRNA from 1 species
AUCUCUGCGCAGCGGCAGUACCGUAGCUUAUGACGUUUUACGGAGGCACGGUUAUUGCUAGUUGAAAACUAUACCCAAUUCCCCGCUAUGUGUUGCCUCACGGCUAACCAUAAGCAAUUUUUUCUGCUCCGAAAGGAG